AUCAAGAUCAACAACAAGCCCCUGUUUCUGCACCACGUCAUCAUGCACGGGAUCCCAAACUUCGAGUCCAAAGGAGGUUGCCGCCCUUUCCUUAAGAUCUACCAGGCUAUGCAGCCCGUCUACACAUCUGGGAUCUAUAACGUCCAAGGAGACAGUCAGACCAGUAUCUGCAUCACCAUUGAACCCGGCCUGCUUCUGAAAGGAGACAUUCUGGUAAGU